GACGAACGCUGGCGGCGUGCUUAACACAUGCCAGUCGAACGGAAAGGCCCUGCUUUUGUGGGGUGCUCGAGUGGCGAACGGGUGAGUAACACGUGAGUAACCUGCCCUUGACUUUGGGAUAACUUCAGGAAACUGGGGCUAAUACCGGAUAGGAGCUCCUGCUGCAUGGUGGGGGUUGGAAAGUUUCGGCGGUUGGGGAUGGACUCGCGGCUUAUCAGCUUGUUGGUGGGGUAGUGGCUUACCAAGGCUUUGACGGGUAGCCGGCCUGAGAGGGUGACCGGCCACAUUGGGACUGGGAUACGGCCCAGACUCCUACGGGAGGCAGCAGUGGGGAAUAUUGCACAAUGGGCGGAAGCCUGAUGCAGCAACGCCGCGUGCGGGAUGACGGCCUUCGGGUUGUAAACCGCUUUCGCCUGGGACGAAGCGUGAGUGACGGUAAUGGGUAAAGAAGCACCGGCUAACUACG
rnacentral:rRNA from 1 species